rnacentral:rRNA from 1 species
UACGUAGGGUGCGAGCGUUAAUCGGAAUUACUGGGCGUAAAGCGUGCGUAGGUGGUUCGUUGUGUCUGUGGUGAAAGCCCCGGGCUUAACCUGGGAAUGGCCAUGGAAACUGGCGAGCUGGAGUGUGGCAGAGGGGGGUGGAAUUCCGCGUGUAGCAGUGAAAUGCGUAGAGAUGCGGAGGAACACCGAUGGCGAAGGCAGCCCCCUGGGCUAACACUGACGCUGAGGCGCGAAGGCUAGGGGAGCAAACGGG